rnacentral:rRNA from 1 species
CUCUAACCCCAGAACAAGCUGGGGGACAGUGUCUGGCGGGUAGUUUGACUGGGGCGGUCGCCUCCUAAAAGGUAACGGAGGCGCCCAAAGGUCCCCUCAGGGUGGAUGGAAACCACCCAUAGAGUGCAUUGGCAUAAGGGGGCUUGACUGUGAGACCUACAAGUCGAGCAGGUGCGAAAGCAGGGCAAAGUGAUCCUACGGUUCCGUGUGGAAGGGCCGUGGCUUAACGGAUAAAAGCUACCCCGGGGAUAACAGGCUUAUCUUGCCCAAGAGUUCACAUCGACGGCAAGGUUUGGCACCUCGAUGUCGGCUCGUCGCAUCCUGGGGCUGAAGCAGGUCCCAAGGGUUGGGCUGUUCGCCCAUUAAAGCGGUACGCGAGCUGGGUUCAGACCGUCGUGAGACAGGUCGGUCUCUAUCCGUCGUGGGCGUCCGGAGAUUUGAGGGGGGCUCUCUCUAGUACGAGAGGACUGAGAGGGACAGACCUCUGGUGUGCCAGCUGUUCCGCCCGGAGCAUCGCUGGGUAGCUAAGUCUGGUUGGGAUAAGCGCUGAAAGCAUCUAAGUGCGAAGCUCGCCCCAAGAUAAGAUCUCCCACCUCGGUGAUUUAUCACCGAGGGUAAGACCGCAGGUAGACUACCUGUUUGAUAGGCCGCAGGUGUAAGCGCAGUAAUGUGUUUAGCUAAGCGGUACUAAUGGUCGAGGGCUUGACCUG